rfam:Bombyx mori DNA, contig: Bm_scaf95_contig35106, strain: p50T/Dazao, build 2, whole genome shotgun sequence.
UUAACUCAAAUUUGUAUGGAGUCGGAACGUUUGCCUGCGUAUGCCGCUAGGGGCGCUGUUCCAACUGCUUACUAAUUUGAAUUA